UGGGGAAUAUUGGGCAAUGGGGGAAACCCUGACCCAGCAACGCCGCGUGAAGGAAGAAGGCUUUCGGGUUGUAAACUUCUUUUACCAGGGACGAAAAAAAUGACGGUACCUGGAGAAAAAGCUCCGGCUAACUACGUGCCAGCAGCCGCGGUAAUACGUAGGGAGCAAGCGUUGUCCGGAUUUACUGGGUGUAAAGGGCGUGUAGGCGGAGUCAUAAGUCAGAUGUGUAAUCUAUGGGCUUAACCCAUAAACUGCAUUUGAAACUGUGACCCUUGAGUAUCGGAGAGGCAGGCGGAAUUCCUAGUGUAGCGGUGAAAUGCGUAGAUAUUAGGAGGAACACCAGUGGCGAAGGCGGCCUGCUGGACGACAACUGACGCUGAGGCGCGAAAGCGUGGGGAGCAAACAGG
rnacentral:rRNA from 2 species